AGAUGGUUGCUCGAGUGGCUGAAGAGGUUAGUCUCGAAAACUAAUAAUGAGUUUUUCAUUCAAGGGUUCAAAUCCCUUACCAUCUG
rnacentral:tRNA from 1 species